UUUAAAGGGUGAAAAAGACUCAAUAUUGUAAAAAUGUCAACUCCUUCUAAUUGAUUUAUAUAAUCUCAACUGAAAUCCUAGGAGGUUUGUGUGUGUGUGUGUGUGUGUGUGUGUGUGUGUGAAUAUUGGCAAGCUGAUACCAAAAUGGGUACAUAAAU
rnacentral:sRNA from 1 species